ensembl:lncRNA
GAACUGCAGCAUGGAGGAGAAAGUGAUUGUUGCCGUUUGCCGUUUGGGCUUCUCGGGGUUUGUUUACCGGCGUAUGAAUAGACUGCGUCAGGUUCUCCGACGUCUCUCCCUCUUCCACAAAAGGAACCUGUGGGGCAGCACCCGGAGCGGUGACAGCAGAUGACUGGGCAGGUGGUGGUGGUGGUGGCGGCGGAGAAGGAGGAGGUGGAAGAGAGGACCAGGAACCACUGGUGGAGGGCUGAGCAGGUGGUGGUGGUGGCGGCGGAAGAGAGGACCACCAGGAACCACUGGAGGAGAAUUGGGCAGGUGGUGCAGUGGCGAUGAAGGCAGACAUGACCUCCAGACUCGUCACUGUGGGGUCAAUGACGUCCUCCUGGAAGCCCUCAUCCUCUGCCUCGUCGCCCAGGGCCAAGUCCUCCAGCAGCUGCUCUGUGCCCUCAAACUCAGGAUCCAUGUCCUGCAUGCUGUUCCCCGUCUGCCUGUAGAGGUAGUCGACACCUAUCAACUCUCCUGGGAAUGAAAACAAUAAUGGAAUUAGUAUAACAAGUAUAUCGACGAUGUGUGGAACCCAUAUCUUGGGUCUGAUUAUAGAUAGAAAAUGUGCACCCCACAUUCAUGUCAUUAUUUUAUCAUAGUACUUUCUUGUUAUGACUUAUAUGAAAUAUGUUAACAUAUUUAUUAUUUGAUGACAUGAUCACCUGCAACAGUAUAUAUAUUAUAUAUACUGCAAUAUUAGAAUUUGCAAACAUGCAAAUACGUGAUCUAAUCUGUCUUGCCGAAUUAAAGACAUUUUAUUUCCAACGUACACAUGCCUUGUGGUCAUUUCAUGUCCACGUGUGAAACACAAGAACACAAAAUAAAACAACAUAUGUUGAGUAUUGCAAGUAAUCCCUAUUCAGUGUAACUUACCAGUGUACUUGGCGGGGGGGCGGAAGGAGGGGACAUACUUCCGUCCAAACACCUUGGAGCC